UCUCCGUUGGUGAACCAGCGGAGGGAUCAUUACCGAGUUUCCAACUCCCAAACCCCUAGGUUAACGAUACCCCACUGUUGCCGCGGCGGGAAAUUCAUGCCCCGGGAGCGUCGCAGCCCCGGACCCACGCGCCAGCCGGAGGACCAACCAGAACGCUUUUGUAUGUGCCUCGCGGAAUUUUAUAAUUCUGAACCAUCACGGCGGUACUAGCGGGCGCUUCGAAAAUGAAUCAAAACUUUCAACAACGGAUCUCUUGGUUCUG
rnacentral:misc_RNA from 1 species